rnacentral:rRNA from 1 species
GACGAACGCUGGCGGCGUGCUUAACACAUGCAAGUCGAACGCUGAAGCUCAGCUUGCUGGGUGGAUGAGUGGCGAACGGGUGAGUAACACGUGAGUAACCUGCCCUCUUCUUUGGGAUAACGCCCGGAAACGGGUGCUAAUACUGGAUAUUCACUGAUACUCGCAUGGGGGUUGGUGGAAAGGUUUUUUCUGGUGGGGGAUGGGCUCGCGGCGUAUCAGCUUGUUGGUGGGGUGAUGGCCUACCAAGGCUUUGACGGGUAGCCGGCGUGAGAGGGUGACCGGGGACAUUGGGACUGGGCUACGGCCCAGACGCCUGCGGCAGGCGGCAGUUGGGGAUAUUGGACGCUGGGCUGAAGCCUGAUGCAGCGACGCAGCGUGAGGGCUGGCGGCCUUCGGGUUGUAAACCUCUUUCGCUCAUGGUCACGCGGCAGCUUUGGGUUGUGGUGAGGGUAGUGGAUAAAGAAGCGCCGGCUAACUACGUG